UACGUAGGGUGCGAGCGUUAAUCGGAAUUACUGGGCGUAAAGUGUGCGCAGGUGGCUUCGCAAGUCGAGUGUGAAAUCCCCGGGCUUAACCUGGGAAUUGCGCUCGAAACUACGGAGCUGGAGUAUGGCAGAGGGAGGUGGAAUUCCACGUGUAGCGGUGAAAUGCGUAGAGAUGUGGAGGAACACCAAUGGCGAAGGCAGCCUCCUGGGCCAAUACUGACGCUGAGGAGCGAAAGCGUGGGGAGCGAACAGG
rnacentral:rRNA from 1 species